rnacentral:rRNA from 1 species
UACGAAGGGGGCGAGCGUUGUUCGGAUUUACUGGGCGUAAAGCGUGCGCAGGCGGUCUAUUAAGACAGGUGUGAAAUCCCCGGGCUUAACCUGGGAACUGCGCUUGUAACUGAUAGGCUUGAGUGUGGCAGAGGGGGGUGGAAUUCCAGGUGUAGCAGUGAAAUGCGUAGAUAUCUGGAGGAACACCGAUGGCGAAGGCAGCCCCCUGGGCUAACACUGACGCUCAUGCACGAAAGCGUGGGGAGCAAACAGG